GCUGGGAUAGCCUAGCCUGGUAAGGCGCAGGUCUGGAAAGCCUGUGCUCUCGUAGCUCGGGAGUUCGAAUCUCCCUCCCAGCG
rfam:Thermoplasmatales archaeon E-plasma genomic scaffold AMDT2_EPLS00002, whole genome shotgun sequence.